AGCCUCCUCUGGACUGAAAACCCAUACACACACUGGGAGCUCACACCUGUGUCCCACCAGGCCCUGGACCUCAGCAUUUUCCAGCACCAGAGGGACUGAUAAGAGGCUGAGUGAGCCGAGAUAUACCCCAUGACAAGGACCUUCUGGAUUUACCAUCUCUUUGAACAACAUCCUGUGGACCUGUGGAAAAAUAAUCCUACUUUUUGAUGGAUGGAAUAUGUUCAAAGUAGCAUUCUUGUAUGGAGUAUACAAUUAACUGUCUUGGUAACCUGAAAACCAAUAGCACCUCUCCAAGACCAAAAGAGCUGUGACCCAAAUAUUCAAAGGAGAGUUGAAGUGAGACUCCAGACAGAGUGCUACCAAACAGAUUGAUAUGAGAAGGCUGCACAUCGGAAACAGCAGAAGAUCUAACUAAAUACCUUAAAAGUCCUUUUGUUUUAGUGGCAUAUUGUGUAAGUGUUUUCUGAGCAGCAGAAAGAACCAGGUUGGGGCACUGAUGGUAAGUAAAAGUAUGACGGCCAAAAUAGGAGUUCUCAGGUUACGAUGGUUCCACUGCCAGGUUCAGGGUGCAGUAAUGCAAGCAGCUGAACUUACUCAGCUGAGGGCUCCUUUUCCAAGGAGGUGGAAAGUGCAAUAGCAAAACAUAGAAUUAAAUUUCUAACUGGAGGUUAAUGGUUCCCACUAGUAAGCAUUGAUAGGAAAAGUAUGAUGAAAAUCAAAAGAGAUUUUUCUUGUCACAUCUCAAUUCUCUCAGAUAUAAAAAUAAUGAACUGAAACAAGGGUUUCUGCUCUGUACACUCAACAAUUUGUGGUUGAUUAAGCAAACAAAAUGUGAUUAUCAUGGAAUGUCAAAUCAUAUCUCCUAGGGAAAUGUUAAGUGACACAGAACUGGGUCCAAUGACACAAAAAGAGAGGUGUUAUGCAGCAGAGUAAUGUGUUGUCAGUAGAACAACCGUACUAAAAAUGAAAGUGAAAGAGCUAAUUCACAAAACAUAAUCUAAAUUUUAAAAUGAAAGAUAGCCUGUGAAAUGCUACAGUACAGUAAUGAUAUCACACAGUAAAUACUGAUGACUUCCAACUUACCUAGAAAUCUUUCCAUGUUUUUGAAUUUUGAAAUGAGAACAAAAUUUCUCAAAUAUGAUUGUGUAUUUGCAUUCAUUUUGCUGGAUUUGAUUGAUAGGAAAAAGCAUUGCUUUCAAUGACAGAGAGAACAUACAGGUUUUCAAAAUGUUAUCUGACAGCUAGGGCUAUAAUUUCUGGUUUUAUGUCAACUUUAAAGAUUAAAAAUCUUAAGCACCAGAUGAAAAAAAAGCACAUAUGCCAGGUGGUCAAUUUAUUUCCAUUUGCAAGCCAGAGAUGGCAUUUAGCUUUAGAGCCUCAGGAACAACCAACAGAGGAACAGAGGUAAAAAGAGUAAGCAGUACAAAGAUGAGAAAUCAGCAUUACCAACAAAUAAUGUAGUUCCUGCUGCAGAUGGAAUAUUUUUCCUUUCCAGAUGAAAAAUUUUCUUUUUGUGUUUUAUAUAGGUUAUUUGUAUCAAUUUGUCAAUGUUCAACCAUCAGUAUGGCCCCAUACACUACAUCUGUUUUUUGACUUGUCAAGGCAAUGUUUAUGUCAAAGACAAUAUAUUACUUUCCAUUAAAAUCUCAGCAACUUGGAUUUUUAUAAAAAAGUUUUCCAUCAGGGAUUUCUAAAACAGCUGGGGAGAAGUAGGAAGGUGCAAAGGUUCUUCACAGUUGACUUAAGAAACUCAGUCACAGAUUCAAUUCCUCUCUUGCUCUGUAUUUAGAGCUCUAACAAUAAUUUUUUUUAAAGCACAUUUUGAAUGCUGAGAAAUCAUUUAUCUAGAGUUACGAAACAAGAAUCCUCUGUGCAUUACAUGCCAAUUAUCUAACUUUUAAUAUAUUAUCUUUCAUCCUAAAUCAAACAUAUAUAACUUUUUGGAAGUUCUAAUAACUUAAUGAUAAUUCAAUUCUAACUAUUAAAAUGAUUGCAAAUGCUCUCAAAUACCUGUUUUGUGUCUCUCCUUAUCAUGUGUUAGUCUUAUAGGACAGCCCAAAUUUAAGCACCAAGCAUGCAAAUCCCACAGAGCUAAAGAAAAACUCACUUUUUUUUUUUUUUUUCUCUGUAGGAGACAGAAUAUUUAAGAGUGGUUUGGACUUCAGCAUGAGGAGAAUGAUGAAUGUCAGUGUUUUGAACCAGGUUGCCAAGUCAAGAUUUCCUCAAAGAGAGUAUCUUGCUGUCAGAUCCCUUCUGAUUUCUCAAGUUUAUCCCUUUGAACAUAUCAUCCAACAUUAAAAUGGAACGAUAUCAUAUACUUAAAUUGUUUAAAAAUAAUUUAAGUAGGCUAUAAAGUGUACUUUCAGCUGUCUGCAAAAGUCAGUGGAAACGAAAACCCACUUUAUUUUUCCAAUACAGUAUAUAAACUCUUUGAAGCAGAUAUAAAUUUUAGAACAUUUACAUUUUCAAUGCCUUCUAGGACACAGUGGUAUUUUUAGAAGAAUUCAGUCAUACACAGGUUUCACUGGGAUACAAAACAGACUGUCAGAGUGCUGUAAGAAAACUUAUACAGAAACAAUAAUUCAUCUGUUAAAAUACUGGUAUAACACACCCAUCAGAAUUCUUCUUCCAUCUUUCUUUUCACAAAGCAUCCCACAUAUUUACUAUGUAAACAUAUUUUAUUAACUACAUAGAGAUGUAAAUAAUCUUUUUGCACAUUAGAAGUAAAUGUUACAGAAUAGUAGUUCAUAUGAAAGUAUCAUCUUUCUGCUUACAAAACAUUUUUACUCUAGGGACAGUUAAAGCAGAAAGUCUGCACAAUGCAUGUCUGAAGGAAACCCUGCAUUUUCAGGUCUAAUGAAGGGAAUCCCACUGCUACACCAACAGCUUUCAUAAUCCUGAACACACCAUGUCCUACUGUAAGCCUGUCUGGGAUGGUUCCUUGCACUGAUACAAACAUUUUAGCUGAAGUCAAUUGUUACCUUGGGCUCCACUUGAAAUUGUAAAGCAUCCUGAGAACGACUGCUGUAAAGCAGGGUCCUAUUCUCUAAAGUUAAUAGAAUUAUACUGUAUAAAUAAAAGGAUUACCAGAAUAACCACUGAUUUUUCCAGGCUCAUACCUGGCUACAAAUGAGCUAAUAGGAAUGAAACGUUCCUCUGCCUGCUUCUAUUCUCAGUUUGUCCACAAAACAUUUGUCAAGAAAAUAAUUCCAUUGUUUUGAAAUAUCAGAUAGAUGUACUGGAGGCUAAAAUUUGCACAGAAAAGUUUUUGGUGCUGUGCCAACAUGCUGUGAAAUUUUAUAUUGUAAGAAGCAAGUUGGCUGCAUUGCUUGCAGAGCUCAGUGUCAAUACAGAUGAGAUGAUGUCUCAAAUAGGCUUGUCAGUUUUAAGGAUGCAAUUUCUUCCUGCGACUGUUCCAAAUUUUUCCAAAUGGUCAUGCAGGGCCUUCAAAGAUGUUUUCUAUGUAAUAUGUUCCUCUUCUUAUCCUCAACACAAAAAUAUCUUCACAAUAAAACUCCUACUUCUGGCUUUUAA